rnacentral:rRNA from 1 species
UACGUAGGGGGCUAGCGUUGUCCGGAAUCAUUGGGCGUAAAGCGCGCGUAGGCGGCCAGAUAAGUCCGGUGUGAAAGUCACAGGCUCAACCUGUGAAUGCCGCUGGAAACUGUCUGGACUAGAGUCCGGAAGGGGCGAGUGGAAUUCCUGGUGUAGCGGUGAAAUGCGCAGAUAUCAGGAGGAACACCAGCGGCGAAGGCGGCGCUCUGGGCCGGUACUGACGCUGAGGAGCGAAAGCGUGGGUAGCAAACAGG